UGGGGAAUCUUGGACAAUGGGCGCAAGCCUGAUCCAGCCAUGCCGCGUGAGUGAUGAAGGCCUUAGGGUUGUAAAGCUCUUUUUGCCGGGGACGAUAAUGACGGUACCCGGAGAAUAAGUCCCGGCUAACUUCGUGCCAGCAGCCGCGGUAAUACGAAGGGAGCUAGCGUUGUUCGGAAUCACUGGGCGUAAAGCGCACGUAGGCGGAUAGUUAAGUCAGGGGUGAAAUCCUGGGGCUCAACCCCAGAACUGCCUUUGAUACUGGCUGUCUCGAGGUCGAGAGAGGUUGGUGGAAUUCCUAGUGUAGAGGUGAAAUUCGUAGAUAUUAGGAAGAACACCGGUGGCGAAGGCGGCCCACUGGCUCGAUACUGACGCUGAGGUGCGAAAGCGUGGGGAGCAAACAGGAUUAGAUACCCGUGUAGUCCCUGAGCGGGCUGGCAAGGCGCAU
rnacentral:rRNA from 1 species